rnacentral:rRNA from 1 species
UACGUAGGGACCAAGCGUUGUUCGGAUUUACUGGGCGUAAAGGGCGCGUAGGCGGUCAGCACAAGUCAGUUGUGAAAUCUCCGGGCUUAACUCGGAAAGGUCAACUGAUACUGUGCGACUAGAGUGCAGAAGGGGCAACUGGAAUUCUCGGUGUAGCGGUGAAAUGCGUAGAUAUCGAGAGGAACACCUGCGGCGAAGGCGGGUUGCUGGGCUGACACUGACGCUGAUGCGCGAAAGCGUGGGGAGCAAACAGG